CUGUUAUCGUUUUUGUCAAAGGCAGUUUCCAUCCGCAUUUGUCAUUCCUGCUUGCAUUUAUGAGUUAUCAAUCGCCACGUCAAAAUGCAAAAUAACUGAUGUUCUUUGGGCGGUAUUGGAUGGUCUAUCUGGGGCUUUUAAUCAAUGCUGAUUCUUAUUUUCCAUACCCAUACAUAAAUCUCUAUGAUUCCGGGCCACAUAUAAUGCGUUUGUACAAAAUGUGGUGACAGAAGCAGCAGUUACAUUAUCAAACAUUACACCUCGGGGCUAACUGAGUACCAAGGGCUUUCAGAAGGGAACACUGGGAAUUAUUGUGCAGGAGACACAACCAUCGUGAAGACUAUAAGGAAUUGGUUGUUGCCAUUUAUAAAUCAACAUCCUUCUCUAUAAUCUGUCUCACUUACAUACAGUCCAAAUUCCUGCCCCAAUCCUCUGCGACUUAGUCAUUUUUUUAAAGCAAAGUUUGCAUAAUAAUGAACUGUGUUUUCUGAUUUCUUCAACUUUUCCCCAGGGCAAAAAUUCAAAUAGCAGCAUGCGACUUAUUCAGGAACAGCUUCUUGUUUUUAACAUACACUGGAAUUUUCCGUGUUGUACCCCCACCCCCCAGUUGCUCUAGAAGAGAAUUCGCUUUGCCCUAUAAAAGGGCAUUUGCCCAGCAGAAGAGCAAUCACUAUAGAAAUCAUCCAACAGGACAUAAGUGCCCCGUGGAUUCUAACACAUGCAGACACCCAAGGCCAUGGGAAACCACUCGGGCACCUUUGAAAUGAAGAGGCAAGGGCAUAUAAAUAAGCCCAGAGCAGAAUACAGCACAGGUGUGCUGUCGCCAGAGCCCGGGAGUCCACAGUAUCCACAGCUCCUUGAGAAGACUAAGACAUAAAGAACGGCCUCCAAAGCUCUCUCCUUGUGAUCAUUGUGUCCUCUUGGAUUUCACUGUAGCCUAAUUGGUCUUUAGUUCCACUCUACCCCCCCCACCCCAUCCCACUCCUCAGGCAGAGUAACUGCUGUCAGUUAGCAAUCCUGGCAGCUGAGCUGUUGACAGGGCAGCACUUGCGCUGUAAGGGACUCUGUCUUAAUGAGUACUUUGGGAUUUACAGCAAGAAUCAAGAACCAGAAAGAUUGCCACUGCAACAAACUUUGAUUCCAAGAAGGCACUGCGGUAGUGAAAAGAUACCUCCCAGCAUCUGAGAUAUGAAAUCAAGUAAAAAAAAAAAGUAAAUAAGCGUGGUUGGGGAUGAAUAAUGGUUCAAAUCCCAUUAAGAUAAGAAAACUCAGAGGUACACAUAAACCAGGGUCUCUUCUGGAAGGCAGUCUCAAAACAGCUUCUAAACAGUGAAUUCAGAGCUGCACCAGUGUGAUGAAAUGGCUUUCAGCACCACACUUCAAGAGGCAAUAUGUUCUGCCUUGAAUUCAAGCACUCCCAGCUUAACCAAAGCGGCCAGUAGCCAGCCUCAUUUGGCACUAUGUGUGUUCAACGAGCAGCAUGCGAGAACUUCAACAUUUAGUCAUCUGAACACUGGGGAACUUACUUGCUCACCCCAUAGGAAGUUGCCACCACCUCUGCAAUUUCAAAGAUUACAGCAGCCUUUGAACAGCCCCAUGAGGUCAUUAGCAAGGUGACACACUCAGAGUCUAAGAACAGCUUCCUCUCAUGUCCUCAGUCCCAUCCAGACCAAGUGUGACUCCUCUGGUGUUUGGUACAUCUUGGUAAUUGAAAAUAGCUCUCCUCUGAGAUUUUCUGGCUGUGCUUGUUGGGAUAGGACGUGUGUCUCCUCACCAUUGUGCCCAUCCAUUUCCUCGGCACAAUCUAAGAACUGCCCUCAACCAAAUGCUACCUAUAUUGACCAUGGCCACCAUUUCCUGUCAGGCUAGGUCACAGUCAAACAGCACUACAAAGAGGCUUGUGGGAUAGCUCAGUUGGUAAAGUGCUUGCCUUGCAAGCCUGAGGACCCAGAACCCAUAUGAAAAGGUCAGGUGUGAUGCUGUGUGCUUGUAGUAUAGGUGCUGAGCAGGUAGAGACAGUUGGUUGCCUGCAGCUCACUGGCCGACAAGUCCAGCCUAAUUGAUGAGUUCCAACCCAAUGAUAGAACCUGUUUCAAAGGAGGUGGAUGUCAUUCCUGAGGGAGGCAACCCAGGGGUUGUCCUUUGGCAUUCACAUUCGAAUACAGACACAUGUAAACUCCCCCACAAACACAUACAUGCAUUAAUAAAGUACAGACAUUAAAAAGUCCAAAUAACAACAAAAACAAAACAAUUAAGAAAAACAAAAGCCCAAGCACCGUGGCUACCAUCAUUCUAAACGCUGCUCCUUUAUCUUCUCUGCCCAAGAUUACUCAUUUACUCCACAGAUACACAGCCAUCCUUCUGUAUCCUUGGGGAACCGGUUCCAGAACCUCUGAGGAUACCAAGAUCUGUGAUGUUCAAGUCCCCCAUAUUUUGAUGUGGCUUUUUUUCUGCACACUUUAAGACAUCCUUAGGUUAUUUAUAAUAUCUAUUGCAUUCUAAAUGCCUUAUGAUUAGUUAUAUUGCAUUAUUUUGAGAAUAAUGGCAAGAAAAGAGGUAUAAACAUGUUUAUUUUCCUUUUUCUUUUCUUUUUUUUUAAGAGAUACAGUCUCCUAUAACCCAGGCUGGCGUUGAACUAAUUGUGUGCCAUGGAUGUCCUUGGACUUUAAAUCAUCCUGUUUCUACCUUCUAAAAGCUAGGAUUACAGCCAUGUACUGCUAAGUCUAGUUUGUAGUAUUGAGGACUGACCCCAGAGACUCACAAAUUCUAGCCAAGCACUACACCAACUGAGCUAUACCCCACCUCUUUUUUUUCACCAUUUUUAUUUGCAGUUUGUCAAGCAAAUAGAUGUAGAACCUAUGGAUUCAGAGGGCUGAUUGAAUAGGCACAGUGCCUACUAUGUCUCAGGUGUAUGCAAGACUGUAAGACAGGGUGAUGUCCUUAUUACAGAACGCCUUGGCAUACACAGAGAGGGCUUGAGGGUGGUCAGAUCUUGGUGGCAAAAUUUGCCUUGUGUGUUUUCUUGGACAAUAAAAAUUUCUUUGUGCAAUGACUAAAGUAAUGCAAAGCUGAGCCACAAACUAUGUUAGGGAUUGAUUCUUCUUUGGCUGAGAUCAUUUUGUCUCCACUCAACGGGACACUUUGACUGACACAAUGCCCUUGGAAGAGGAUGCCUGUUCCUUUCAUUUAGUGCAGGCUAACCUGGGACAGACGCCUUGAAGAACAAAAGAAAGGAGCAGUGCUAACAGAGAUGUUGUGGUCCUGGGGAAGGAUAUAGGAUAAAGAAUUGUUUCGGUGUGGCUUGAGUACAAGCUCAGCGUCCAGCCUUUCAACUUAGCAACAGGAAAACCUUAGACAUGUGGUGCCCUCUAUUACAGCAUUUUUGCAAAAUUUCCAAAGAAGCAUUGGCCCUAUCCAGGGAUGUGUUUUGUGGGGAGCACCAGUGUUGCUGGAUUAUAGCACACAUUAAUUCAAAGUGACCUCAUCUUAAUGUAUUAUAUCAGCAAAGACCUUAUUACCAGUCUGCUUCCUGGAGUUGUAGCCCUGACCUCUGAAAGCAGACCACUUCCUCUUCAUCUUGGCCAUGGGUACUUGAGAGGAGCAACCGAGUCCCUCAUUCCUUAUCUAGCCAAGUGAUCACACUUCUGAAAAUCAAUUCUGCACUGAGGUGCCAUCUUCAGAAAAGGCUUAUUUUUUAACCCCAAAGGGACACAUUUAGGAAGGCAGCCUCUCUUCUGCACUGAGAACUAUGGAGAACACAGCUGAAUCCUCCACCCUGGGGCAGCCAGCCACAUCCUGGAUCUGGGACCAAGACUGUGAUUCAAACAACUAUACAUUGUCCACAUUGCCUUUGCCCCAGUUUCACUUUGUAAUUUCUGCGAAUUCAAGAUGGAGAGUCCAAUUUAAGAAAAUGCAUGGUCCCAAGGCUCCCACACGUGCAGCAGGACUCAUCUCGACCUUUUUGUGAUUCUGAAGAUGUGGAGUCCACAUGGAAGCAUCACAUGGACUCAUAAUUAUUGAUCCCUGGGGACUCAGACUAUUUCAGCAGGAAUAAAAGACAAUGGAUAUGG